GGAGAGGUGUCCGAGCGGUUUAAGGAGGCGGUCUCGAAAACCGUUGUGCCCUUCUUGGGUACCGUGGGUUCGAAUCCCACCCUCUCCG
rnacentral:tRNA from 1 species